UCUGGCAUCCAACCCCGGUGCUGCGCUAUGCAUGUCCGUUCGGCGAGCGCCUCUCAAGCGUGUCGGGAGCUGAAGGCCAAUGUUGCAGGCCUCUCCGAAAAGUGCGCGGCGUUGCUACACUGCUGACUGCUUUCGCGGACACAAGAAUGCAGGCGCGUUACGUGAUCUUCGCCGUUCUGCUGGCUGUGCUGGUCAUCUGUGCCGCCGAAGACCUCGGUCCGUUUCGGUUGCGACGUUCUCCACGCUGUGGGAAAAACGCGGCGCACCAAAGAUGCGGCCCUCCAUGCGAGAACAUCUGCGGUCAACCAGAAAAUCGAGAGUGUAGAAAGGCGACAUGCACUCCCAAGUGCGUCUGCCUUAGGGGUCAUGUCCGUACGGCCGAGGGAGACUGCAUCACCCAUCAACAGUGCCGCAAGAAGAAAGGAUAAGCACGUGCUCCAGGACGCCUACCCCCAUAACGCCAACAUUCACUUCCUUAGACGUUUACUGAAAUAAAUUCAUUCGUUCAAUC